rnacentral:rRNA from 1 species
AUACGUAGGGUGCGAGCGUUGUCCGGAAUUACUGGGCGUAAAGAGCUCGUAGGUGGUUUGUCGCGUCGUCUGUGAAAUUCCGGGGCUUAACUCCGGGCGUGCAGGCGAUACGGGCAUAACUUGAGUACUGUAGGGGAGACUGGAAUUCCUGGUGUAUCGGUGAAAUGCGCAGAUAUCAGGAGGAACACCGGUGGCGAAGGCGGGUCUCUGGGCAGUAACUGACGCUGAGGAGCGAAAGCAUGGGUAGCGAACAGGAUUAGAUACCCUGGUAGUCCAUGCCGUAAACGGUGGGCGCUAGGUGUAGGGGUCUUCCACGACUUCUGUGCCGUAGCUAACGCAUUAAGCGCCCCGCCUGGGGAGUACGGCCGCAAGGCUAAAACUCAAAGGAAUUGACGGGG